GACGAACGCUGGCGGCGUGCUUAACACAUGCAAGUCGAGCGGUAAGGCCCUUUCGGGGGUACACGAGCGGCGAACGGGUGAGUAACACGUGGGUGACCUGCCCUCAGCUCUGGGAUAAGCCUGGGAAACCGGGUCUAAUACUGGAUAUGACUCCAUGACGCAUGUUGUGGGGUGGAAAGCCUUGUGCGGCUGAGGAUGGGCCCGCGGCCUAUCAGCUUGUUGGUGGGGUGANGGCCUACCAAGGCGACGACGGGUAGCCGGCCUGAGAGGGCGACCGGCCACACUGGGGACUGAGACACGGCCCAGACUCCUACGGGAGGCAGCAGUGGGGAAUCUUGCGCAAUGGG
rnacentral:rRNA from 1 species